CCCGGCGGCCACAGCGAGGCAGGGAAACGCCCGGAACCAUACCGAACCCGGAAGCUAAGCCCCCCAGCGCCAAUGGUACUGCCCCCACCAGGGAGCGGAAGAGUAGGACACCACCGGAA
rfam:Actinomyces sp. oral taxon 414 strain F0588, complete genome.